GUUCUAAGGGCGGUGAAGCUGGACCGUAAGGACCGGUGGAGCGCUUAGAAGUGAGAAUGCCGGUAUGAGUAGCGAAAGAUAGGUGAGAAUCCUGUCCACCGAAUGACUAAGGUUUCCUGGGGAAGGCUCGUCCUCCCAGGGUUAGUCGGGACCUAAGCUGAGGCCGAGAGGCGUAGGCGAUGGACAACGGGUUGAUAUUCCCGUACCGGUCUGAUUUGUUUGAGCAAUGGAGGGACGCAGGAGGCUAACGAUGCGCACUAUCGGAUGUGCGUCCAAGCAGCAAGUCUGUCGGCGAGUCAAAUGCUUGCCGGCUCAAGGACAAGCUGUGACGGGUAUGAACGAUUUAUCGUUCUAAGUGAGUGACGUCACACUGCCAAGAAAAGCUUCUAGUUAGAAUCAGACCGCCCGUACCGCAAACCGACACAGGUAGUCGGGUCGAGAAGACCAAGGUGAGCGAGAGAACUCUCGUUAAGGAACUCGGCAAAAAUGACCCCGUAACUUCGGGAGAAGGGGUGCUGAUCGCAAGAUCAGCCGCAGUGAAUAGGCCCAGGCGACUGUUUAUCAAAAACACAGGUUUCUGCAAAAUCGUAAGAUGAAGUAUAGGGGCUGACGCCUGCCCGGUGCUGGAAGGUUAAGAGGAUGGGUUAGCGUAAGCGAAGCUCAGAAUUGAAGCCCCAGUAAACGGCGGCCGUAACAAUAACGGUCCUAAGGUAGCGAAAUUCCUUGUCGGGUAAGUUCCGACCCGCACGAAAGGCGUAACGAUCUGGGCACUGUCUCAACGAGAGACUCGGUGAAAUUAUAAUACCCGUGAAGAUGCGGGUUACCCGCGACAGGACGGAAAGACCCCAUGGAGCUUUACUGUAGCUUGAUAUUGGGUGUUUGUACAACUUGUACAGGAUAGGUAGGAGCCGUAGAAGUCGGGACGCUAGUUUCGACGGAGGCAUCGGUGGGAUACUACCCUCGUUGUAUGAACACUCUAACCCACGCCGGCAAUCACGGCGGGAGACAGUGUCAGGUGGGCAGUUUGACUGGGGCGGUCGCCUCCUAAAAGGUAACGGAGGCGCCCAAAGGUUCCCUCAGAAUGGUUGGAAAUCAUUCGCAGAGUGUAAAGGCAUAAGGGAGCUUGACUGCGAGACCUACAAGUCGAGCAGGGACGAAAGUCGGGCUUAGUGAUCCGGUGGUUCCGCAUGGAAGGGCCAUCGCUCAACGGAUAAAAGCUACCCUGGGGAUAACAGGCUUAUCUCCCCCAAGAGUCCACAUCGACGGGGAGGUUUGGCACCUCGAUGUCGGCUCAUCGCAUCCUGGGGCUGUAGUCGGUCCCAAGGGUUGGGCUGUUCGCCCAUUAAAGCGGUACGCGAGCUGGGUUCAGAACGUCGUGAGACAGUUCGGUCCCUAUCCGUCGCGGGCGCAGGAAAUUUGAGAGGAUCUGUCCUUAGUACGAGAGGACCGGGAUGGACAUACCGCUGGUGUACCAGUUGUUCUGCCAAGGGCAUCGCUGGGUAGCUAUGUAUGGAUGAGAUAAACGCUGAAAGCAUCUAAGUGCGAAACUCACCUCGAGAUAAGAUUUCCCACUCCUUUAUGGAGUUAAGACCCCUGAGAGAUGAUCAGGUAGAUAGGAUGGAAGUGGAAGUGCGGCGACGCAUGGAGCGGACCAUUACUAAUCGGUCGAGGACUUAACC
rnacentral:rRNA from 1 species